GCCGGAUCAGUGGCGAACGGGUGAGUAACACGUGGGCAACCUGCCCUUCACUCUGGGAUAACCCCGGGAAACCGGGGCUAAUACCGGAUACGACCCCUGCAGGCAUCUGCGGGGGUGGAAAGUUUUUCGGUGAAGGAUGGGCCCGCGGCCUAUCAGCUUGUUGGUGAGGUAGUGGCUCACCAAGGCGACGACGGGUAGCCGGCCUGAGAGGGCGACCGGCCACACUGGGACUGAGACACGGCCCAGACUCC
rnacentral:rRNA from 1 species